UUAUUUACUUAUCAAGAUAGAUUUCAUCAUUAGGAUAAGCGCUGUUUUUUCUCACGGUGAGACGAAUUCUUUGUACUUCGGUUGCAUUGAUAGCUACGAUUUCCUCCUGUGUGGGAAACUCGACUGCCUAAUUUGUGGAAGUUGGGACUGCGUUCGUGCUGUCUCCU
ensembl:snRNA U1 U1 spliceosomal RNA